CAUAGGUUAAUGAGGCGAACCGGGGGAACUGAAACAUCUAAGUACCCCGAGGAAAAGAAAUCAACCGAGAUUCCCCCAGUAGCGGCGAGCGAACGGGGAGCAGCCCAGAGCCUGAAUCAGUGUGUGUGUUAGUGGAAGCGUCUGGAAAGGCGCGCGAUACAGGGUGACAGCCCCGUACACAAAAAUGCACAUACUGUGAGCUCGAUGAGUAGGGCGGGACACGUGGUAUCCUGUCUGAAUAUGGGGGGACCAUCCUCCAAGGCUAAAUACUCCUGACUGACCGAUAGUGAACCAGUACCGUGAGGGAAAGGCGAAAAGAACCCCGGCGAGGGGAGUGAAAAAGAACCUGAAACCGUGUACGUACAAGCAGUGGGAGCACAGAGCAAUCUGUGUGACUGCGUACCUUUUGUAUAAUGGGUCAGCGACUUAUAUUCUGUAGCAAGGUUAACCGAAUAGGGGAGCCGAAGGGAAACCGAGUCUUAACUGGGCGUUAAGUUGCAGGGUAUAGACCCGAAACCCGGUGAUCUAGCCAUGGGCAGGUUGAAGGUUGGGUAACACUAACUGGAGGACCGAACCGACUAAUGUUGAAAAAUUAGCGGAUGACUUGUGGCUGGGGGUGAAAGGCCAAUCAAACCGGGAGAUAGCUGGUUCUCCCCGAAAGCUAUUUAGGUAGCGCCUCGUGAAUUCAUCUCCGGGGGUAGAGCACUGUUUCGGCAAGGGGGUCAUCCCGACUUACCAACCCGAUGCAAACUGCGAAUACCGGAGAAUGUUAUCACGGGAGACACACGGCGGGUGCUAACGUCCGUCGUGAAGAGGGAAACAACCCAGACCGCCAGCUAAGGUCCCAAAGUCAUGGUUAAGUGGGAAACGAUGUGGGAAGGCCCAGACAGCCA
rnacentral:rRNA from 1 species